GAGUGGGGAAACAUGGGAUGUUUCGGGAACCCAAUAGUUGUAUCUGGUUCUAUCCUCUGUAAUAUUCUCUAUUGUAUAGUGGAAUUAUUCUCUCUCAUCCGUGGACGUAGGCAUGGUUGGCCGAACCACGUUAAAACCUCGUGUACCGUAUGUGUGAUUGUUUUAUCUUUGUGUUCUUGAACUAACAUCGUUGGCAUCAAAGCUUUCGCUGGCACUACAAUUGGUAUCAGAGCUUGGGUUGAAGAUUUCUGGAAGAGUAAAAGAUCACAAAGCACACAAGAUGAAAACAAAAGGAAUUUUCACUGAAGGUGGAGUCAAUUGCUCUUUCGUGGUGAUAUGAUACAAAAAGGUUUGUGUCAUGGAGAGAUUGAAGAUUAACUUCAUGUAAUUUGGUCCAAGGUGGAGAUUGUUGGAAAUUGUCCCAAAUUCCUAAUUAGUAAAUAUUCCUUUUUGUAAAGAAUAUUGUAUAGAAUAUUUCUAGGUUGAUAUAUUAUUGUAAUAUUAAACUUCCUUAUAGAAUAAGGAAGGUUGUUGGAAAUAUCUCUAUAAAUAUUCUAGGUCAUGAGGGGAAAAAGUUAUGAGAUGGAGAUGGGCCUAUAGAGACUAUACGAGGUGGAUAGAGAUGUGAGGAAGAACGGGAGGUACCUGGUGGAGCGAGAGGGCUCGUAGUAAGGUAUGGAUACAAGGAGUGGGGAAACAUGGGAUGUUUCGGGAACCCAAUAGUUGUAUCUGGUUCUAUCCUCUGUAAUAUUCUCUAUUGUAUAGUGGAAUUAUUCUCUCUCAUCCGUGGACGUA
rnacentral:lncRNA from 1 species